UACGGGGGGGGCAAGCGUUGUUCGGAAUUACUGGGCGUAAAGCGCACGUAGGCGGCGAUUCAAGUCAGAGGUGAAAGCCCGGGGCUCAACCCCGGAACUGCCUUUGAAACUAGAUUGCUAGAAUCUUGGAGAGGCGAGUGGAAUUCCGAGUGUAGAGGUGAAAUUCGUAGAUAUUCGGAAGAACACCAGUGGCGAAGGCGACUCGCUGGACAAGUAUUGACGCUGAGGUGCGAAAGCGUGGGGAGCAAACAGG
rnacentral:rRNA from 1 species